AACGAACGCUGGCGGCAUGCCUAACACAUGCAAGUCGAACGAGACCUUCGGGUCUAGUGUCGCACGGGUGCGUAACGCGUGGGAACCUGCCCUUAGGUUCGGAAUAACUCCCCGAAAGGGGUGCUAAUACCGGAUAAUGUCUUCGGACCAAAGAUUUAUCGCCGUUGGAUGGGCCCGCGUUGGAUUAGCUUGUUGGUAGGGUAAAAGCCUACCAAGGCGACGAUCCAUAGCUGGUCUGAGAGGAUGAUCAGCCACACUGGGACUGAGACACGGCCCAGACUCCUACGGGAGGCAGCAGUGGGGAAUAUUGGACAACGGGCGAAAGACUGAUCCAGCAAUGCCGCGUGAGUGAUGAAGGCCUUAGGGUUGUAAAGCUCUUUUACCCGGGAUGAUAAUGACAGUACCGGAAGAGUAAGCGCCGGCUAACUCCGUG
rnacentral:rRNA from 1 species